GACAGAGGGUGCAAACGUUGCUCGGAAUUACUGGGCGUAAAGCGCGUGUAGGCGGGCCGAUAAGUCAGACGUGAAAUCCCUGAGCUCAACUCAGGAACUGCAUCUGAAACUGCCGGUCUAGAGUGGUGGAGAGGGAAGCGGAAUUCCUGGUGUAGCGGUGAAAUGCGCAGAUAUCAGGAGGAACACCAGCGGCGAAGGCGGCGCUCUGGGCCGGUACUGACGCUGAGGAGCGAAAGCGUGGGUAGCAAACAGG
rnacentral:rRNA from 1 species